rnacentral:rRNA from 1 species
UACGUAGGUGACCAGCGUUGUCCGGAUUUACUGGGCGUAAAGAGCGCGCAGGCGGUCGUUCAAGUCGAGUGUGAAAGCCCCCGGCUCAACUGGGGAGGGUCACUCGAUACUGAUCGACUGGAAGGCAGGAGAGGGAAGCGGAAUUCCCGGUGUAGUGGUGAAAUGCGUAGGAUAUCGGGAGGAACACCAGUGGCGAAGGCGGCUUCCUGGCCUGUUCUUGACGCUGAGGCGCGAAAGCUAGGGGAGCAAACGGG